UACGUAGGGCGCAAGCGUUGUCCGGAAUUAUUGGGCGUAAAGAGCUCGUAGGCGGCUUGUCACGUCGGGUGUGAAAGCCCGGGGCUUAACCCCGGGUCUGCAUUCGAUACGGGCUAGCUAGAGUGUGGUAGGGGAGAUCGGAAUUCCUGGUGUAGCGGUGAAAUGCGCAGAUAUCAGGAGGAACACCGGUGGCGAAGGCGGCUUUCUGGGCCUUACCUGACGCUGAGACGCGAAAGCGUGGGGAGCGAACCGG
rnacentral:rRNA from 1 species